rnacentral:lncRNA from 1 species
AAAUUAAAUCACAACUCAGAAAUCACAACUGAAGGUAAUCAAUUCAUAUUACAAAUAUAUUCAUGGCUUUGAAUUAACCUCUAGCCAAAAUAAAUUUAGUUACACAUUAUUAAAACAGAAAUAAAAUAUAAGUUUGGAAAGAUUUAACCGAAAGAGGAGAGUGCUUCAGUGCUCUGUCUGCCCAGCGCCCUCUGUUUUCUGUGCGCACUGCUAAUCUCCCCCGAGGCUCACGCCUCCUCUGAUUGGAUACACGCUGCAAGGCAACUUUUGAAUUCCUCUCCUUUCUUUCGCUGCCUAAGGCAGCUUGGUGCCUUUUGCUUUUCUCUGUGCCAAGGCUUCACGCUGCGCAAGGCAGCACUUCUUCUCCUCGUCCUUUCUCUUCUUCUUCUUUCCUUUUUUUAUUCCUUUUUCGCUGGCAGCUUUGCUGCUUCUUUUCCGUCCAUUAGCUUCUUCUUUCUUUCCUCCACCAUUCCUUUCUUUAUGUUUCUUUUCUUUUUUUUCAUCAUUCCAUGUCUCCCACUUAUUUAUUUUCUUAUUCUUCUUUCUCCGCACAGUCCGCAAGUCUCUCCCCUUCCUCUUUUAUUAUUCAAUUUCUUGAUAGUCCACUCCCUUCCUUUGUUUAAUGCCGUGUUGCACUCUGUCUCUUCUCUAUUCUUUUCUGCGUUUGAAAUUAAUCCUACAACAAAAUUAACAGUACAUUAACACAAAGUAAGGUAAAAUGUCACAAUUUUAACACAAAAACAUCCAAAGACUUUAGAAAUGAAUGAUAUAAAUGCAUGAAAUAUAUGAGUGAUCAAAUACCCCCAAACUUACAUUUUUGCUAGUCCUCUAGCAAAACAAAGAAAACAUGAAAAAGUAAUAACAUGAAAAAUAUUAGCUUCCCUCUAUGUGACCCUCAUAGAAUUUCAUUCAAGAAAACAAAUCAUCAAGAACCAUAGCUAGCAUCAAGGAACUAAUCCAAGUUCAUCUUCCUUAUUCAAAUAUUAGCAGUAAUCUUUGAAUCAUCCUUGAAGUGUAGUGUGUGAGAUAGCCAUGCUAAUGCAAUUUCAAAAUUUUUAUAUUUUUAAAAUCACCAUAUGCAAACUAGCAACCUUCUCACGGGAUAUACACUCAAUCACACAUGUGUUUAGUUUUAAUGUGUUUUCGCUCAAGAAUCAAAUGUGAAUUCAAAUGUGAAAGUUCUAAUAGAUCACUUAAAGAUGCACUUAUUCACAGUAAUAAUUGCAAAACUUAAAUCAAGAGGACUUUAUUUAAUUGGAUUCACAGUAAUAUUGCAAAUUAAAUCAAAGAGGAGAGGUACUUUAUUGGAUGUAAAGAAAGGUUAAGUAAGCCAAGCUACAUUAUUGCAAGCAAUAGAAUCUUUUUUGGUAAACACAAGUUUAUUUAGAACUUGCAAGCAAUUCUUUUGUUUCCAGCGAUUCUAUCUAAGAAUUCUUUUCCACAACCAACCUUUAACACCUUUUAACUGAAACUUUCUUGAAAAAAUUUUUAUUUUCUUUGUAUACAAUUUUUAUUUUUUUUCUUUUUUUUUUUUUUUUUUUUUUUAAAUAAACACAUAACUAAAUACAAACAUGAAAUACCCCCACACUUAUUCUUUUGCCAAACACCUUCAAAGUACUUCACAAACAUUUCUCAUAAGACAAUCUCACAUUGCUCACUAGCUUGCUUGGAAAGGGUAAGGAAAAAUGUUUCAGGUAUAAGGGUAGACAUAUCUGGUGAUAAGAAAUAAAAGGCUCAACAUACACGGCUCAAAUUGGCAAUCUAAUGAUAUCAUUUUUAUUUGGGAAAUAUGGUUAUUUGGGCCAUAGUGGUAAACCUAAUGCCUCUAUCAUUUCCAAGUUCAUGCAAUCAAUGACAAACAUUUCGAAAGAUGGUUACGCAAGUUCUAGAGAUGUAUCUCACAUAAGUUCAUCACACAUGAAAGAAUAGGAGUGUAUGAAAAAUGCACACACUUUCAAUCGGCUCAAAAACUCACAUAGGAUGUAUAUGGUCACUAAAUUCACAUAUGAAGCUUUAAGUCAUACUUUAGUUUCACAUUAACAAGGCUAUGUGCAUUUGGUUUUUCAAAGAUGGUCAAACAUGUACAAAACUAACAAGAGAAUUAGGAAUUUCACAAAACACAUGUUAACUAAGUUCUUGAUGAUCAUGGUUCAAAUUUGAUCCAAUUAUAUCAUUGGGUCGGGAAACUAACAAAAAUCUAAUUCAUAACAAUAAGGGAAACAAGACAAUAUUUUUGGAUUUUUUAAAUUUUCCGAUUUUUUUUUAAAUUUUUUUUUAAAAGAAAACAAAACUAAUUAAGAAAACAAAAAGCAACAACAUGGAAACAAAUGAAACUCGUUCGUAGUUGAAGGUACAAAAAAAUUUCAAAUUUGUCAUCAUUUUUAUACUCUUUACCCCCAAACUUAAACUGGACAUUGUCCCCAAUGUCAGAAAACACUAUAAUGCAAAUAAAAAAAUAAAAUAAAUAAUAAGAAAACAAAAUAAAGCAAUUGGACUGAAAACUUCCCUAGUUUGCAGUAAAACCAAGCGAUGACCCCCCAAGCUAAAAUUCUGCAAUCAACUUCAAGGGUGGAAAUAACCAAAAGUUCCUGCAAAGAAAAGAAAUAAUUCAGUUAAGUAAAGCAAGAAAAUGUAAAAAAAAAAAAAAAAAAAAAAAAAAAAAAAAAAAAAUUGCAAACGAAAAAUUGAAAAUCACGAUAAAAGACAAUGAAUAGAACUAAUAAGUGAUCAUUGGUCGUGCUUGUUGACUUUCCACAGCUUUCCUCUUGAACGGGGUGACACUUAGCUUUGUACUUGCAAGUGAUGAUUUGAUGAUAUUGUACAGCGAGGCUUUGCUCUUUAGCGAAGGUGCCCUCCAAAUGUUGUUGAAGCUUCUCGAGUUCUUGGAUUUAACUCGCACUCCUUUUGCUGAGUUCUUCUCUGCUUGAUUCUUCUAUAUGGCAGGCAGGCACAAGGUAGCUGUGUUGGUUUGAUUCUUUCUUCAAUCUUUCCAAGUGCCCACCUCUUGCUUUCUUUCUCCUUGUCCCUAGCUGAAGAUGAAUUGGCAAAUUGUCUCCACAUGCUUCGAGGUAUCAUUUUCACUUCCCUUACUUGUCCCCCAAGUAGAUGUGGUAGACAAAACGGAAGCAUAAGAUGAUGAAGAUGAGUACUCGAGAGCAAGGUUAGGUAAGCAAUCAGGAAGGGGUUCCAGGCAGUUGGCUCCAGAUCGGAAGAUUUAUACCAAGUGCUGGCUGAUUGCUUGCUUUCUCCUUGUCGUAAAACAAAGACAAAGAGAAGGACAGGGAGAAAGCAUGAUAUGAGAUACUCUUGCUUUCAACCUUCAUGAUAUGAAAUACUUUUGCUUUGGAUGGGUUGUUUGCAGAGGUACCCCAAGGAAUAAGGAACACUGAGUGACUCGAGAGGGUGUGUUGGAAAUACAUUCUCGGAGAUGAAGAAGUGCUGAGAGGGUGUGCCUUUGCUGUGGAAGGCGAAGGUAGAUACUUAUAGGACUUUUCUUCACAACCGGAACUAUUCCCUCACUCAUUGUUGGCAGCCGGUGGAUGGAUGAAUAGUACAAAUUACGCGCUUUCUGACAAAGCUGCCCGUAAAUUCCGCAAAGCUGCCAGUUGCAUGUGACGAGUGACGACACGUCUGGACAAAUUGAUCUUUUGAAAUCCGAGGUUCGGCUCGUGGUUUCUGAGCAAGCCCAACUUUUAAGAAAUGAAACGCCUCUUUUGAGAAAAGAAUCCGACUUUUGAGAAAUGAGCCCCGACUCUUCGAUUUGCGAGAGGACGCCUCUUCGAUUUCUGAGGAGCGCCUCUUUGAUUUCUUCUUUUUAUAGAGGCGUUAAUUUUGUUCCACAACACACUUGAGCUCCCUCCUGUAAACACUCCCUUCUUGCACUUCCAAAAUCUUAAUCUGUCCGAUCUCUUCUUUCUUUACCAUUCUGAAAAAUGUCUGGCCCUUCCGAUCGUCGUUUUGACUUGAACAUUGGUGAAGAGGCAGCUCCGCCUUCACCAGACAACAUAUGGCGCCCAUCUUUCAUAUCCCCUACUGGUCCCCUUACCGUUGGGGAUUCGGUGAUGAAAAAUGACAUGACCGCUGCGGUGGUGGCCCGGAACCUUGUCACCCCCAGAGAUAACAGACUGCUCGCUAGACGAUCUGAUGAAUUGGCGGUUAAGGAGUCUCUGGCUCUUAGCAUGCAGUGUGCGGGUUCUGUGUCCAACAUGGCCCAACGCCUAUUUGCUCGAACCCGUCACGUUGAAUCGUUGGUGGCUGAAAUACAGAGUCUCAAAGAGGAGAUUAGAGGACUCAAGCAUGAAAAUAAACAAUUGCACAAGCUUGCACACAAUUAUGCCACAAACAUGAAGAAGAAAAUUGACCAGCUGCAGGAAACUGAUGGUCAGAUUUUACUUGAUCACCGGAGGUUUGUGGGUUUGUUCCAACCGCAUCUGCCUUCGUCUUUUGGGGCGGCACCGUGUAGUGAAGCUCCAAAGAAUCAACCUCUGUUGCCUCCUCCUUUUGUGGCCCCGUCGACUGCUGAAGCUCCGCCGACUGCUGAAGCACCACCUGACCAAUGAAUGCUAUUAGUUUACACAUCAUUGUAAAAUAUUUUUACUUUUAUGUUUUUUUUUUUUUUUUUUUUUUUUUUUUUUUUUUUUUUGAAUAUGUAAAUUAAUGUAAAAAGACUUUGUUUAACCUUCCCCCACACUUAAGCUAAAUAACACAAACUCACAGAAAUCAACCAAAUAACACAACUAACUAAACAAAACAAAAUGAAAGCAGUAAAGAUAAGGGUGUAAGUUGAAUGCUUGGGUUGCCUCCCAAGAAGCGCUUGCUUUAACGUCCGCAGUCGGACGAAUCUUUCCUUUAAACUCCCCUCGGCUCCAAAGCAUGGAAUUUAUCUUUUAAUGGGAGGUGAUACUUGAAAUGAUUCGGCAAUGGUUUAAAUUCAAGAGUGGGUGCCUGAAUCAUCAAAAUCAGAAACAUGUUAGUAUAAAUUAAAAUUAAAAUUGGAGAAGAUGGCUUACUUUCUUUUUCCGACACAAACUCAAUGACAAACACCACAUCUUUGAACAUUUCCGGGACUUUGAACUUGGCCAAGUUUACUAUGAUGGUUGUGGCUUGUCCCGUGUUAUCAAACUCAACUGCUUUGGGCUUGAUUGUCUCAUGCACAGCCUCUUGGAUGUAUUCUUGAUAUGCUUCAACCACUUCAUUUUCUUGAAUCCCUUUUCUUGGUGUGCAAGGUUCUUUGAACGUUUCAAUACCAUCGGGAACUUGUUUUGGUGCACCAAGAAUUGGGAUAUCACUUUGCACCUUUGGAAGAGCUUCCACAAUGUCUUUUUCACUCUCUUUGAUAUUUGUAAUCAAAAACCUGCAAGGAAAAAGGACAUUUGUUGGAAUAAUGUUAGAAUGAAGUGAAUUUAGAACUUCCUCACCUGAGUUGGAUGACAUAGGGAUUUGAGGAGCUUGCAGCAAGAAUUCUUCUAAACUGCCCAGGUCGUCCCCCUCCUCUUCUGCUUGCAGCAGCAAUUCAUCCAUGUUCGGGCUGUGUUUGGAUGGUUCUGGGACAGCUUCAUCCUUCAUGUCACCUUCCAAAGUGAUGGCUUCAUCGAUUUCAACUUUUGCUUUUGAAUUUGCAAUGUUUGAGUUGGAAAGUUCACUUUGAUCUUGAAUAUGUGCCAAGAAUUCCACAAUAUGCCCAACUUGCAUAUCCAAUUCGUCCACUCUUUUGACUCGGUCUUGCAUCUCCUGGUUUUGAUUUUCUACUCCCUGUUUCAAAGAGGUGAGUAACUUAUUAAGUGUAUCAUUAUCCAAGGACGUACCUGAAUUGAAUUGGGUUGAUUGUUGUGGUGGCUGUGACGGUUCAUAUGGCCACUGAUAGAACUCUUCCGAUGGCGGCAAUUGUUCUUCUUUUUGUGAACCCUGCGUCAAAGAAAUUAGUCCUUCAAGAAUUUCAUUAUAAUUCACGGGCAUACUUUGAUUUGAUUGGAAUUGUUGUGAGGGAUGCUGUGGUGGCUGCAUAGGUCUUGAAUAGAACUCGUCUUGCUGCCAAUAUCCACCUUGUUGAAAUUGUUGAGGUUCAUCCCACAUAUAAUCUGAAUUACCUCUCCAAUCUGAAUUGCAAGCUUUGGAAAACAUGUUGCCCCUUGAUUGGUUAUGGCCUUGAUAUCCCCAAACAUCUUCAUUUGCAGAAAAUUGAGGACUUUGAUAUCCUUGCCCAUAGGGCACAUCAAGUGUAGGGACACUUGGCAUUGUGGUCCGUUCGGCAUUAUGAGUCAAUUGAGCAGUGAGCUGUGCCAAUUGAGCUUGAAUGGUCGCAAGUGCCAUGUCUUGCUCCAUUUGUACCUAAAAUCAAAGAAAGAAAAAUAAAUCAAAUAUCAAAAGUAAAAUACACAAACACCAAUAUAAACAUAAACAAAAACAAAAAUAAAGGGAUUAGCAAAGUUGCUAAUCCCCGGCAACGGCGCCAAAAAUUUGGUGCGAAAUAUAUAAGCACACAAAUUUAACCCUCUUUUUGACAAUUGUAGUAUAGAUGUAAGUAGGGUAUCGUUCUAGGCCGGGGAUUAGGAGGGAUUGCUAAUCUAUUCUAAAUUAAUUUAAAAAUAUUAAACAAGACUCAAGGACACAAAACUAGGCUAAAAACUCUAAUAACUCGAAACACACUUAGAAUGACUCAAAAUAAUGAAAACAAUCAAAUUAGACACUAGGAACUGAAAUGGACGGAAAUUGAAUUAAAAGAUUAACAACAAUGAAAACUAACUAAAUAAUAUAAUUUAAUAAUGGGGGGGGGUUUGGUUUUGACGAGAAGUAAAUUAAACUUAAAUAAAUUACAAAAUUGACAAAAACAUGAAAUUAAGGUGAAAGGAUAGGUGAUGGACUAGCUAGAGGGUUCUUCUCCACACAUGACACAUAUGCAACCUAAAUUGAUUUUCAGUUGUUCUUUCAAUAAAUUGUAAAUCUCAAUACUUCAGAUUAACCGUGAACAACACUUUUUUAAUCUUCAAGUUUUCCUUAAGUUAUUGAAUUGGACGGAAAAACGCAUACAACAAUUCAAAACAUUCUUCAAAAGUCCCCUACGUGAAAAGCACAAUAGAGAUACAAUCAAAGAUCAUUAAACUUUGUGAAAACUAUAAGCAUUGACGAGGCAUUCGUAACUAUGAAAAGCAUGAUACUCUUGCCAAGAAUUCACUUAACACGAUUGUGGAUAACAACCUUCACUACUCAUAAGUUCAUAACAAACGAUUAGGUGAAAUUCACUUAUAUUCUAGCAUCAAAUUCAUGCAUGUAAAUUAAGUAUGCAUUCUUAAUCGACAUACAAAAAUAAGUUAUCAAUCAAGCAGUUAAGCAAAUUAAAUCACAACUCAGAAAUCACAACUGAAGGUAAUCAAUUCAUAUUACAAAUAUAUUCAUGGCUUUGAAUUAACCUCUAGCCAAAAUAAAUUUAGUUACACAUUAUUAAAACAGAAAUAAAAUAUAAGUUUGGAAAGAUUUAACCGAAAGAGGAGAGUGCUUCAGUGCUCUGUCUGCCCAGCGCCCUCUGUUUUCUGUGCGCACUGCUAAUCUCCCCCGAGGCUCACGCCUCCUCUGAUUGGAUACACGCUACAAGGCAGCUUUUGAAUUCCUCUCCUUUCUUUCUCGCUGCCUAAGGCAGCUUGGUGCCUUUUGUUUUUCUCUGUGCCAAGGCUUCACGCUGCGCAAGGUAGCUCUUCUUCUCCUCGUCCUUUCUCUUCUUCUUCUUUCCUUUUUUUAUUCCUUUUUCGCUGGCAGCUUUGCUGCUUCUUUUCCGUCCAUUAGCUUCUUCUUUCUUUCCUCCACCAUUCCUUUCUUUAUGUUUCUUUUUUUUUUUUCAUCAUUCCAUGUCUCCCACUUAUUUAUUUUCUUAUUCUUCUUUCUCCGCACAGUCCGCAAGUCUCUCCCCUUCCUCUUUUAUUAUUCAAUUUCUUGAUAGUCCACUCCCUUCCUUUGUUUAAUGCCGUGUUGCACUCUGUCUUUUCUCUAUUCUUUUCUGCGUUUGAAAUUAAUCCUACAACAAAAUUAACUGUACAUUAACACAAAGUAAGGUAAAAUGUCACAAUUUUAACACAAAAACAUCCAAAGACUUUAGAAAUGAAUGAUAUAAAUGCAUGAAAUAUAUGAGUGAUCAGAAACGACACUUAUUCCCACUCUCUUCAGCUUUGUCAAGCUGGUUUCCACCGUUCGUACACUUUCUUUUGGUCAAGCAUCUCUCUCCGACAUGGGGAGCGAAAGAAGCCAUAGCACACAUAAUGACACCCCCCUUGGACCUAGUAUGAAGCAACGAAAGCAGGAAGGAAAUAGAGUUACUCUUCAAGCUAAAGUCGAUGAGCUAGAGGUUCAGAACAACAAGAUAACGAUGAAGAAUGAGGUCCUCCAGGAACAAUAUGAAAAACUUUUCGAGAUGCUUCACGAGGCUAGGCAUGCUCAAGCACACAAGCUCGUCGCCCCUGUUGAGGUCAACAAUCAUCUGAAUGCCCCCCAACACGGAGGGUCACCGAUAUCCAACACGGACAUCCCUGAUAGAGAUCGAGCUACACAUCAAUGUGAUAAUCAACAUGAGACUUCUCUCAACCCAGCUGCUUCAACCCGAAGCAGAAGAAGUAGAGGAAAGCACCUCCUCACAGAGGGAGUGGAAGGAUCAAAAGCCAUCUAUUGCGAUUGUCGAGACUUCCUAAAGCAACGUCGAGAGAAUCUCAUCCACAUAAGCUCGAAGAUCAAUGACCCAAGAGUUUCUGAAAGACUCGGUCCUCUUCCACGACUUAGGCCAGCGGCCAAUCUAGAGAAUGGGCAACAAGUCCCAGAAGAACAUGAAGGUACAGGGGACUCGGAAAUAUUUCAACAUACUCACUCUAGGAGUCAAUGUGGCGAGUCCAAGGAAAAAUCACGCUAUCUUGAUCAAACUUUCCUACUUCCAAGAGGUGAUAGGGACUUACGGAAGAAAACUUCAGUGGUGCACGACUCCACUUAGGACCCCCUUGUCCUACAGCUCCUGGAGGAAGUAAACAAGUUGAAGGCUGAACGUCAAGCCGAGAUACCUGACUGGAACCAACCCAGGCAUGGCCCCCUCACAAGAAGGAUCCUCAACACCCCCCUCAAAGCAAAGACAAAGCAGAAGCUUGGCUUACAACUUUAUACUGGAAAGGAAGACCCGAUUGAACACCUUAACCUCUUUGAGUCCACCAUGGUAUACCGGAGACACACCGA